GUGUCAAAUGAAAUUAAAGUAAGAAGUAUACGAAUAAAGUAUUAGAAAAAUGCCAUCGUGUAUUUUGGAAACUUGUUCUAAUAGAACCUACCGAAAAUCAUAUAAACAAGAAGAACUCGAAAAAAAGCAGAAGAUAACUUUUCACACAUUCCCAAAAAAUACGUGCAGGCAAAAACAGUGGUGUGAAAUAUUACAAUUGCCUGAAAAUACUAUAAAAUCAAAUUCAGUAAUAUGCUCAAUGCAUUUUCAUGAAGAAAGUUUCGAUAAAUCGUCACAACGUUAUAUUAGAUUAAAAGCUGAUGCCAACCCAUAUGAAAGGUGUGUUACAUGUAUCAUCUUGGUGGAAUUUCCUGCAAUAUUCAGGAAUAUAUGAUGUUAAGUAACUAUGUAAUAUAUAUGACAUAGUAUAUGUAAUAUAAUAUAUAUAAUAUACUCAAGUAGCAAGGUAAUGUCUCGACAUGGCAUUUUAUUCAAGUUAGAAAUGUUAAUAAGACUUCAUUUGACAUCACAUUGCUACUAGGGAUAUAUAUAUAUACACAUA